rnacentral:lncRNA from 1 species
GUCCACCCCCAUCAUCAACACCAAAACCACCUCAUCAUCCCAAACCCCCAGCAGUACACCCACCACAUGUUCCAAAACCACAUCCACCUUAUGUUCCAAAACCACCAAUUGUUAAACCUCCAAUAGUACAUCCACCUUACGUACCAAAACCCCCAGUUGUGAAACCACCACCAUAUGUCCCUAAACCACCUGUUGUGAGACCACCCUAUGUUCCUAAACCACCAGUUGUACCUGUAACACCACCUUAUGUUCCUAAGCCACCAAUUGUUUUCCCACCACAUGUUCCUCUACCUCCAGUUGUACCAUCACCACCACCUUAUGUACCAACACCUCCAAUUGUGAAACCACCAAUUGUUUUUCCACCACAUGUUCCUCUACCUCCAGUUGUGCCUGUAACACCACCUUAUGUGCAACCACCACCUAUUGUAACUCCACCAACACCAACACCUCCAAUUGUGACACCACCAACACCACCUAGUGAAACACCUUGUCCUCCACCACCACUUGUACCUUAUCCACCACCAC